UUGUCACGCGGGACUACSCGCUGAUUUUA
rnacentral:rRNA from 1 species